UAUUAGAAGUCUCCUUUCCUUGUCCCGUUCAUUCUAGUGGGCUUUAUGUGCAGCUCUCUGAGGCCCACAGCCUGCCACAGCUGCUGGCUCCCCUCCUGAGGUCAUAUCCUCAGCUACUGAAGCAAUGCAUGUCCCCAAAGAGGCACCCAAACACUGGCUCCUUGGGAGCGUUUCUGAAGUUGAACUUUUUGGCUGGACUGCAUAUCCCAUAAUAUUUGAUGGAUACAGAUUCUUACAGUGCAUUUCUCCUUUCAGC